CUGAUCAACUGCUUAAGGAGGAGCUGAAGAAGAGCCUGGAAUUACCUCUCUCUCGAGGGGGAAAAUGGGAGGCUUCUUCUCUGCUCAGAGAAAGGGAAGAAAGUCUGCCCUGGUCGGGGCGCCGUUGGAGCUGGUCGGAGCGGACGACACGGAGUGCGUUAACUCUGGCGUGCCUUCUUCUUCCCAGUUCUUGCCCAGGAGCUCUUCAGUUGUUCAUAUACUCUGGUUUGUUCAUACAUAUCCAUUGACCUUCUAUUUAUUUAUUUAUUUAUUUAUUUGAAUUUUAUGUAAUUUCAAUUGUUCGUUCGCAUUGAUGGGCAACUUAUAUCCGUUCAAGUAACUCGUGAAUCUACCGUAGAAUCGGCCAUAUAUUCAGCAUUCUCGCAAGGCAACUAUAUUCUUUUCAAGUUCAGGGCUCAUUGUUGGGAUGCGGUUAAACAAAGAAGAUUGCUCUUGGAAGAAUCACUUGAAGGUGUUGUCCCUGGUUCUACAAUUACAACAUUCCCUGUGAUUCAUGGUGGUGGCCCCGGAAAGCCCUAUCUUCAACAGGACUAUAUGUCCUUUUUGUACCGGAUGAAUGAACUACCGUCCAAAAAUGAAUGGCUCGGGACAAAGGGAUUAACAUCUGUGUUAAGUAAGCUGGGGACACAGACAUUUUAAAAACUGUUUGAAAUGAUAUCCUUGUAUCACACGGGGAACAAGUGUUUUGCUGGUAAAUUUGAUUGCAACAAUAUCAUAUAAGUACCAUCGACAGAUACUUACAUGAUUGAUCCCUAUGUGCAUGCGCUUGAUGUGGAUUUCACCCCUAGUGGAUAUAAGGAGGACAUUAAAGCUUUGGGUAAAGUACUUGAAAGGUGUGCAUGAUGAAACUGGAUUCUUCACAAGCAAAGAUAGCUUAUGUUGCCCAUUUGCUGAAAACUAUGAGGGAAAUGCCAUCGGGUGCUGAGUCAUCUCAAACAUUCAAGGCGUUCAUCAGAAAUCACCCUUGCAUGAUGUCAUCCGCCAGUCCACAAGGACUUAUAUCGGAAGUGCAUAGAUACAUCAAGUUUCAGUAUGAUGAUUCAAUGGAACCUGUUCUACAAUCUCCGUAUACCUGGGGUUGGAUCGCUGAAUGUGAUCGUGACUUCAAUCCGGUAUACCUCUAUAAGUGGCGAUUACGGCUGCUGAGGGGGACCGGAUAUUAUGAGAAUGAAUGGUCAUGGUUUACUUUUUGUCGGAAUUUCCUUUCACAUCCUAAUCAAAAUCUGGCCAUACAAAAUGCAGAUAUUGCCAUAUGGUGGUACUUUGAUGAGCAUUUAGCAGACUUCUUGUGCCGCCUUUCCUGCACACAUGAGUUUAAAUUUAACAUUUUCAUAAAGAUAGUUUUUGCACGCACCCUGCAAAGUGGGAAAGGUACCCGUGCAUAUUAUACUAUGAAUCAGUCCCAAACCUAGAGUAUUCUACAGAAGAGUCGGAAUACGAGGAAGAAAAGUCGGAGUAUGCUGAAGAAGUGCCAGAUCAUUCUGAAGAAAAGCCAUCACCCAGCGAGAUUGGGCGGCCUGGGAUUAGAAAACGCAUCUUCAUAUGAUGUUAGUAGAAAAGGAAGUAAGCAUAAUGAUGGUCGGUUAUUACUUGGUGGUUGGUCAUGCCGACUCAUCUAUGCUCGCCACCUGCUGCCAUCGAGCAGCUCAAACAUAUUUUCAUUUGUCUUGUGUUUGCCCUUGUGGACACAAUUAAUAUAACGAUUUAGCACACUCACAUUGUACCAUUGCCAAUCUACUUCAGAGCAAUUUUUGAAGAUA